rnacentral:lncRNA from 1 species
CUCAGUGUGUAAUUUCAAAUUCUCAGUGUGUGUUUUCAGUUUAUUUAUUCUCAGUGUGUCUUUUUGAAAUCUCAGUGUGUAAUUUUCAAUUCUCAGUGUGUAAUUUUCAAUUUUCAGUGUGUAAUUUUCAAUUCUCAGUGUGCAUUUUUCAUUUUUGUAAUCUCAGUGCGUCUUUAUGAAAUCUCAGUGUGUAAUUUUAAAUUCUCAGUGUGUAAUUUUCAAUUCUCAGUGUGUAAUUUUCAAUUCUCAGUGUGUAGUUUUCAAUUCUCAGUGUGUAAUUUUCAAUUCUCAGUGUGCGUUUUUCAUUUUUGUAAUCUUAGUGCGUCUUUAUGAAAUCUCAGUGUGUAAUUUUUAAUUCUCAGUGUGUAAUUUUCAAUUCUCAUUGUGUAAUUUUCAGUUCUCAGUGUGCGUUUUGAAGUUUUUAAAUCUCAGUGUGCUUUGUUGUAAUUCUCAGUGUGUAAAUUUUUCGAAAAAUGGUUUAAACAUAGUUUUGACGAGAACGGCUUGCCAUAGUAU